ACGCCCAGCUGACAUUUCAUUUCUUAUUACAUAUGCAUCCCCGUUAUAUCAAAGAAAAGAGAAAAGCAGGCUUGAAUGUCACAUUUUUAAAGCACAGUAGAGUGUAGAUUAUUUUAUUGGAUUAGAUGGCAACCAUUAUCUUUAUUAUGCAAUGACACUAUAGCUGUGCUACAUGGAAUGACACUAUCAGACUAAGCACUCACAGCAAUAUCCCCAAUUCACAGGAAAGUGAGUCAGAAAAAUUAGCACACUUAAAAUAGAAUGUUUCAUCAAGCAGAAUUUCUUCACAGAAAUGAAAAAAUGAAAAUGAGGCUGCAAAGUACCUUUUAACAUGACUCAUUUGUUAAGCAAGGACAGCCAUUUAUCAAUAGCGAGUUAAUAAAAUCAUAUUUUAUGGCAGCAGCCAAAGAAAUACGUCCAGUGAUAAUAAGCUUGCUUAAAAACUAUUAGUCUUUUGGUGAGAAACAGUUUCUUACAGAAUUGGAGAAAUUGGGAGCAAUAUUAAUAGUCAAUUUAAAAACAAGGGAAAUGUGUUUUUUCUUGGCUCUUGAUGAGUCAAUAAAUGUAACUGAUACUGCUCACCUGUUAUUUAUUUGAAAAGUUAGUGGUAAAUUUAAAGAAACUGAAGAAUUAACUUGUAUAUUUCAGGUGUGGAAGAACUAUGGGCGAGAAUAUUUUCAAAGAGGCUGGGAAAAGCACACAUUCAGUACAACCUGAAGUGGCAUCUAACAGGAUCUUGCUGUGUUUCCCAGGCCAGUCUCAAACUCCUGGCCUCUAGUUAUCCUCCAGCCUCAGCAUCCAAAGUAGCUGAAAUUAUAGGCAUAAGCCAUCAUGCACAGCAGGUAAUACAACCCUUGUAUGCAAAACUUAAACUGUGGUAAAGUCAUUCAACAACAACUAAUGUUUAAAUCACAGUAAUGUCAACUGCUUUAUAUCUAUACAUCUCAUGCUGU
rnacentral:lncRNA from 13 species